GAUGAACGCUGGCGGCGUGCCUAAUACAUGCAAGUCGAGCGAACGGACGAGAAGCUUGCUUCUCUGAUGUUAGCGGCGGACGGGUGAGUAACACGUGGAUAACCUACCUAUAAGACUGGGAUAACUUCGGGACACCGAAGCUAAUACCGGAUGAUAUUUUGAACCGCAUGGUUCAGAAGUGAAAGACGGUCUUGCUGUCACUUAUCGAUGGAUCCGCGCUGCAUUAGCUAGUUGGUAAGGUAACGGCUUACCAAGGCAACGAUGCGUAGCCGACCUGAGAGAGGGGUAGGCGACACGAGAGCUGAGACACGGUCCAGAGUCCUACGAGAGGCAGCAGUAGGGAAUGUUCCGCAGUGGGCGAAAGCCUGACGGAGCAACGCCGCGUGAGUGAUGGAGGUCUUCGGAUCGUAAAACUCUGUUAUUAGGGAAGAACAUAUGUGUAAGUAACUGUGCACAUCUUGACGGUACCUAAUCAGGAAGCCACGGCUAACUACGUG
rnacentral:rRNA from 1 species